rnacentral:rRNA from 1 species
AUUGAACGCUGGCGGCAGGCCUAACACAUGCAAGUCGAGCGGAGCGGCGGACGCGUGAGUAAUGCCUAGGAAUCUGCUUGGUAGCGGGGGAUAACGACCGGUAACGGGCGCUAAUAAUGCACACUAUCAGAUGAGCCUAGUUCGGUUUAGCUAGAUGGUGGGGUAAAGGACUACCAAGGCGACGAUCCUUAACUGGUCUGAGAGGAUGAUCAGUCACACUGGAACUGGGACGCGGUCCAAACUCCGACGUGAGGCAGCAGUAGGGAAUAUUGGACAAGGGGCGAAAGCCUGAUCCAGCCAUGCCGCGUGUGUGAAGAAGGUCUUCGGAGUGUAAAGCACGUUAAGUUGGGAGGCGUUACCAACAGAAUAAGCACCGGCUAACUUCGUGCCAGCAGCCGCGGUAAUUC